rnacentral:rRNA from 1 species
AGUGAACGCUGGCGGCAGGCCUAACACAUGCCAGUCGAGCGGAUGAAGGGUACUUGCUCCUGGAUACGGCUGCGGACGGGUGAGUAAGGCCUAGAAAUCUCCCUGUUAGUUGGUUAUAACGUCCUGAAACGGGCGCUAAUACCGCAUACGUCCAUACGGAGAAAGUGUGGAAUCUUCGGACCUCACGCCAUCGGAUGAGCCUAGGUCGGAUUAGCUAGUUGGUGGGGUAAAGGCCUACCAAGGCGACGAUCCGUAGCUGGUCUGAGAGGAUGAUCAGCCACACUGGAACUGAGACACGGUCCAGACUCCUACGGGAGGCAGCAGUGGGGAAUAUUGGACAAUGGGCGAAAGCCUGAUCCAGCCAUGCCGCGUGUGUGAAGAAGGUCUUCGGGUUGUAAAGCCCUUUUAGUUGGGAGGAAGGGCAGUAAGUUAAUACCUCGCUGUUUUGACGUUACCAAAAGAAUAAGCACCGGCUAACUUCGUG